UACGGAGGGUGCAAGCGUUAUCCGGAUUCACUGGGCUUAAAGGGUGCGUAGGCGGUCAGGUAAGUCAGUGGUGAAAUCUCUGGGCUUAACCCAGAAACUGCCGUUGAUACUAUUUGUCUUGAAUAUCCUGGAGGUAGGCGGAAUAUGUCAUGUAGCGGUGAAAUGCUUAGAUAUGACAUAGAACACCGAUAGCGAAGGCAGCUUACUGGAGGAUGAUUGACGCUGAGGCACGAAAGCGUGGGGAGCAAACAGG
rnacentral:rRNA from 1 species